CAAGUCGAACGAUGAACCCGGAGCUUGCUCCGGCGGAUUAGUGGCGAACGGGUGAGUAACACGUGAGUAACCUGCCCUUGACUCUGGGAUAACUGCGGGAAACUGUAGCUAAUACCGGAUACGACCCUCGGAGGCAUCUCCUGGGGGUGGAAAGAAUUUCGGUCAAGGAUGGACUCGCGGCCUAUCAGCUAGUUGGUGAGGUAAAGGCUCACCAAGGCGACGACGGGUAGCCGGCCUGAGAGGGUGACCGGCCACACUGGGACUGAGACACGGCCCAGACUCCUACGGGAGGCAGCAGUGGGGAAUAUUGCACAAUGGGCGCAAGCCUGAUGCAGCAACGCCGCGUGAGGGACGACGGCCUUCGGGUUGUAAACCUCUUUUAGUAGGGAAGAAGCGGAAGUGACGGUACCUGCAGAAAAAGCACCGGCUAACUACGUGCCAGCAGCCGCGGUAAUACGUAGGGUGCAAGCGUUGUCCGGAAUUAUUGGGCGUAAAGAGCUCGUAGGCGGUUUGUCGCGUCUGCUGUGAAAUCCCGAGGCUCAACCUCGGGCCUGCAGUGGGUACGGGCAAACUAGAGUGUGGUAGGGGAGAUUGGAACUCCUGGUGUAGCGGUGGAAUGCGCAGAUAUCAGGAAGAACACCGAUGGCGAAGGCAGAUCUCUGGGCCAUUACUGACGCUGAGGAGCGAAAGCGUGGGGAGCGAACAGGAUUAGAUACCCUGGUAGUCCACGCCGUAAACGUUGGGAACUAGAUGUAGGGUCCAUUCCACGGAUUCUGUGUCGCAGCUAACGCAUUAAGUUCCCCGCCUGGGGAGUACGGCCGCAAGGCUAAAACUCAAAGGAAUUGACGG
rnacentral:rRNA from 1 species